UCCUACGGGAGGCAGCAGUGGGGAAUAUUGCACAAUGGGCGAAAGCCUGAUGCAGCAACGCCGCGUGAGGAUGACGGCCUUCGGGUUGUAAACCCUUUUAGCAGGGAAGAAGCGAAAGUGACGGUACCUGCAGAAAAAGCGCCGGCUAACUACGUGCCAGCAGCCGCGGUAAUACCUAAGGCGCAAGCGUUAUCCGGAAUUAUUGGGCGUAAAGAGCUCGUAAGCGGUUUGUCCCGUCUGCUGUGAAAUCCCGAGGCUCAACCUCCGGCCUGCAGUGGGUACCGGCAGACUAAAGUGCGGUAGGGGAGAUUGGAAUUCCUGGUGUAACGGUGGAAUGCGCAAAUAUCAGGAGGAACACCGAUGGCGAAAGCAGAUCUCUGGGCCGUAACUGACGCUGAAGAACGAAAGGGUGGGGAGCAAACAGGCUUAGAUACCCUGGUAGUCCACCCCGUAAACGUUGGGAACUAAUUGUGGGGACCAUUCCACGGUUUCCGUGACGCAACUAACGCAUUAAGUUCCCCGCCUGGGGAAUACCGCCGCAAGGCUAAAACUCAAAGGAAUUGACGGGGACCCGCACAAGCGGCGGAGCAUGCGGAUUAAUUCGAUGCAACGCGAAGAACCUUACCAAGGCUUGACAUAUACGAGAACGGGCCAGAAAUGGUCAACUCUUUGGACACUCGUAAACAGGUGGUGCAUGGUUGUCGUCAGCUCGUGUCGUGAGAUGUUGGGUUAAGUCCCGCAACGAGCGCAACCCUCGUUCUAUGUUGCCAGCACGUAAUGGUGGGAACUCAUGGGAUACUGCCGGGGUCAACUCGGAGGAAGGUGGGGAUGACGUCAAAUCAUCAUGCCCCUUAUGUCUUGGGCUUCACGCAUGCUACAAUGGCCGGUACAAAGGGCUGCAAUACCGUGAGGUGGAGCGAAUCCCAAAAAGCCGGUCCCAGUUCGGAUUGAGGUCUGCAACUCGACCUCAUGAAGUCGGAGUCGCUAGUAAUCGCAGAUCAGCAACGCUGCGGUGAAUACGUUCCCGGGUCUUGUACACACCGCCCGUCAAGUCAUGAAAGUCGGUAACACCUGAAGCCGGUGGCCCAA
rnacentral:rRNA from 1 species